UGCUUCAGUGCCUCCACCCCCAAGUAUUUAUGUGAUUUGAGAAGGCUGUAGAUGUCUAUUGCUACAGAAGUGUUACUAGUCAGGGUUCCAGAUAAUUCCCAAGACUUAGAACUUUUUCAAGUAAAAUGUUACCAGGAUUUGGUUUCUUUUUGAGACAGAUCUCACUACAUGGACAAGGCUGUCUACCUCGCAAGUGCCGAGAUAACAAGGUGCGCAGUUGACUGAGGAGGAUCAGAGAAUCUGAAGACUCCGAUGACAUCAGAGCUACUUUUCAACACCCUCCUCGGCUUCCUUUCCCACACAGCAGAGGCUCGGGCUGGAGUCAGGCGGUACUGGUAUGUGCAUUUCGUAAACAACAAACGAUGAAGAAAGAAAAACAGUUACCUUCCCUAAGAAGCAUUACCUGCGUGCCACUGUGCUGAGGAGGGGACUGUGUGGCUGCUCCUUGCCUA